AUCAUUUACAUCAAUUACCUGUAAAUCUGACCCCAUCAAUCUUUUUUGAUUUUGUCUAUUUGGGUUCAGAAGCAUGAAGAACUUCUGCACAAGAAAUCCAGUUGAUUUAGUCACAUGCUGAGACAGUUACAAGGGCAGAUCCCAGAUGAGGAAAACUCUACAAGACAGGAAGCCUGAAAAAUGAUGCUGGAUCCAUUUCUGAGGAAAAGCAUUUAGGAGUUGUGGAAUCAAUCAAGUGAAAUCACACUAGGAGCCGAGGUCUUCUCUUAUGAGAAAUUCUACAUAGAAACUUUCCAUAGAUCUAAGCCUGUGCCUGUGCAUGCCGAAGAUCCCCUUUUGACUACAGUCCAGGUGAUG
rnacentral:lncRNA from 1 species